rnacentral:rRNA from 1 species
GUGGGGAAUAUUUGACAAUGGGCGAAAGCCUGAUCCAGCCAUGCCGCGUGUGUGAAGAAGGUCUUCGGAUUGUAAAGCACUUUAAGUUGGGAGGAAGGGCAGUAAGUUAAUACCUUGCUGUUUUGACGUUACCGACAGAAUAAGCACCGGCUAACUUCGUGCCAGCAGCCGCGGUAAUACGAAGGGUGCAAGCGUUAAUCGGAAUUACUGGGCGUAAAGCGCGCGUAGGUGGUUUUGUAAGUUGGAGGUGAAAUCCCCGGGCUCAACCUGGGAACUGCCUCCAAAACUGCAUGACUAGAGUACGGUAGAGGGUAGUGGAAUUUCCUGUGUAGCGGUGAAAUGCGUAGAUAUAGGAAGGAACACCAGUGGCGAAGGCGACUACCUGGACUGAUACUGACACUGAGGUGCGAAAGCGUGGGGAGCAAACAGGAUUAGAUACCCUAGUAGUCC